GUUAAAAAGAUCCAACAAUUCCUCCCCAUUUGCCUUAUACGCUGUCCUUAUAAGCUGAUCACAAAGGUGUUGGAUAACCAUGUAGCUAUCUAUGCGGAUAAGCUGAUCAGCCGUCACCAAAAUGCCUUCAUUAAAAACAAAAACAUCAUGGAUGGAAUUCUGUCUUUGCAUGAGGUGCUACAUCAUGCCCACAAUAAGAGGAAAAUUGGAGUGGUCCUAAAGCUUGAUUUCAAAAAAGCUUAUGACAAAAUCAACUGGGAUUUCCUUUUGGAAUGUCAUAGGAUGAGGGGUUUUAAUGAUAAAUGGUGCGGAUGGAUUAAAAAUAUCCUGAAUAACGGCACAAUGAGCAUUAAGUUUAAUAAUGAGACUGGGCCUUACUUUGUGAGCCGCAAAGGGGUUCGCCAGGGCGAUGCACACUCACCUUUCUUGUUUAGCCUAGCAGUUGAGUGCCUCUCGAAGAUGAUUUUCAAUGCUCAAAAAGAAAAAUUGAUUACUGGCUUAGCCCCUGACCUUAUUGAGGGGGGUGUUGACGUGUUACAAUACGUAGAUGAUACGGUGUUAUGCUUUGAACAUGACACCUCUUAUGCAGUAAACCUCAAAUUGCUCCUUUAUAUGUUUGAGCUUAUGUCAGGUCUGAAAAUAAACUAUCUAAAAAGUGAAAUCCUUUGUGGGGGGGGGGGGUGA
rnacentral:rRNA from 1 species